rnacentral:rRNA from 1 species
GUGGCAAACGAGGUAGUAACGCGUAGGUACGAACCCUGAAGUCGCGAAUAACUAGCCGAAAGGUUAGCUAAUGCGCGAUAGUCUCUGCGGAGUAAAGGAGCAAUUCGCUUCGGGAUCGGCCUGCGUAGUAUCAGCUAGUUGGUAAGGUAAUGGCUUACCAAGGCUAUGACGCUUAGGGGACCUGAGAGGGUGACCCCCACCGAUGGUACUGAGACACGGACCAUACACCUACGGGUGGCCGCAGUCGAGAAUCUUCCACAAUGGACGAAAGUCUGAUGGAGCGACGCCGCGUGAUCGAUGAAGUUCUUCGGAAUGUAAAGAUCUUUUAUGAGCUACUAAGUUAUUGAAGGGCUCAUGAAUAAGAGGUUGCUAAACUCGUGCCAGCAGCAGCGGUAAUACGAGUGCCUCAAGCGUUAUCCGGAAUUAUUGGGCGUAAAGGGUGUGUAAGCGGCUUUUGUUAGUCUCCUGUGAAAAAAUCUCGGCUCAMCCGGAGGGGACCCAGG